UCCACAUCAUCUUGAAACACUGCUUCCCAUAUGAUCACCGUAGUUAAGCAACAUCGAGUCUGGUCGAUACCUAGAUGGUUAGCCACUUGGGAAUAUCAGGUGCUGUCAG